rnacentral:rRNA from 1 species
UGAAGGCCAGGCUGAAGACCUUGCCUGAUCCGCUGAGAGGUGGUGCAUGGCCGUCGUCAGUUCGUACUGUGAAGCAUCCUGUUAAGUCAGGCAACGAGCGAGACCCACGCCCGCAGUUGCCAGCGAGCCCUUCGGGGUGGCGGGUACUCUGUGGGGACCGCCGCUGCUAAAGCGGAGGAAGGAAUGGGCAACGGUAGGUCAGUAUGCCCCGAAUCUCCCGGGCUACACGCGGGCUACAAUGGUCGGUACAAUGGGUAUCUACCCCGAGAGGGGAUGGAAAUCUCCUAAAACCGGUCGUAGUUCGGAUUGAGGGCUGCAACUCGCCCUCAUGAAGCUGGAAUCCGUAGUAAUCGCGUUUCAACAGAACGCGGUGAAUACGUCCCUGCUCCUUGCACACACCGCCCGUCAAACCACCCGAGUAGGGUCUGGAUAAGGGUGCGCCAUGUUGACGCAUUCGAAUCUGGGCUUUGCAAGGGGGGUUAAGUCGUAACAAGGUAACCAAGGGCGAAU